UGCCCCAGGCCGGAAGUUGGAAAUGUCUUAAUAAUUAGUUUUAAAAAGUUCUAUAGUAUUAAUUUAUCUGUAUUCUAUUUUGAAGGAGAAUUUUGAGAUAGCAGUGCAUUGUGGGUAGCAGAGGCAGUUGCAGUUAGGAAUACGUGUUCGCAGAGAGAAAGCCUGCCUGUUAAUGUAAAAACUUCACCUCCUGUGUCGUCAAUCUUUUCUUACACCUCCGAAAACAAUGGCUUUUCACUCAACCUUUCAUUGAGCUUUCCACACCACUGCUCAAAGUUGUCAAGAAAACGUAAUAAAGGAGCAAGACGCUCAGCUUCCUGGCUCAUGAAAUUGA